rnacentral:rRNA from 1 species
AGUGAACGCUGGCGGUAGGCCUAACACAUGCAAGUCGAACGGCAGCACAGUAAGAGCUUGCUCUUACGGGUGGCGAGUGGCGGACGGGUGAGGAAUACAUCGGAAUCUACUUUUUCGUGGGGGAUAACGUAGGGAAACUUACGCUAAUACCGCAUACGACCUACGGGUGAAAGCAGGGGAUCUUCGGACCUUGCGCGAUUGAAUGAGCCGAUGUCGGAUUAGCUAGUUGGCGGGGUAAAGGCCCACCAAGGCGACGAUCCGUAGCUGGUCUGAGAGGAUGGUCAGCCACACUGGAAGUGAGACACGGUCCAGACUCCUACGGGAGGCAGCAGUGGGGAAGAGUGGACAAUGGGCGCAAGCCUGAUCCAGCCAUACCGCGUGGGUGAAGAAGGCCUUCGGGUUGUAAAGCCCUUUUGUUGGGAAAGAACAGCAGCAGGUUAAUACCCCGCUGUUCUGACGGUACCCAAAGAAUAGGCACCGGCUAACUUCG